GAGUUACUGGGCGUAAAGGGCGUGUAGGCGGUUGGUUAAGUCUGGCGUGAAAGCUCUCGGCUAAACCGGGAGAGGUCGUUGGAGACUGGCCGACUGGAGGAUGGUAGAGGCGUGUGGAAUUCCGGGUGUAGUGGUGAAAUGCGUAGAGAUCCGGAGGAACACCAGUGGCGAAGGCGACACGCUGGGCCAUACCUGACGCUAAAGCGCGACAGCAUGGGGAGCAAACGGGAUUAGAAACCCCGGUAGUCCAUGCCGUAAACGAUGCCAGCUAGGUGUUCACGCCGCGCAAGCGGCUGGGGUACCGCAGCUAACGCGAUAAGCUGGCCGCCUGGGGAGUACGGUCGCAAGGCUAAAACUCAAAGAAUUGACGGGGGCCCGCACAAGCAGUGGAGCAUGUGGUUUAAUUCGAUGCAACGCGAAGAACCUUACCCAGGCUCGACAUGUAAUGGACGAUACCAGAGAUGGUAUUUUCCGAAAGGACCGUUAUAUAGGUGCUGCAUGGCUGUCGUCAGCUCGUGCCGUGAGGUGUUGGGUUAAGUCCCGCAACGAGCGCAACCCUUAUCAUUAGUUGCCAACACGAGAGGUGGGGACUCUAAUGAGACUGCCUAGGUUAACUAGGAGGAAGGUGAGGAUGACGUCAAGUCCGCAUGGCCUUUAUGUCUGGGGCUACACACGUGCUACAAUGGUCGGUACAGAAGGCAGCAAGACCGCAAGGUGGAGCAAAUCCGUAAAGCCGAUCACAGUUCAGAUUGUAGUCUGCAACUCGACUACAUGAAGUUGGAAUUGCUAGU
rnacentral:rRNA from 1 species